AUUGAACGCUGGCGGCAGGCCUAACACAUGCAAGUCGAGCGAGCGGCGGACGGGUGAGUACUGUCUGGGGAUCUGCCCGAUAGAGGGGGAUAACUACUGGAAACGGGUGCUAAUCCCGAAUACUAUCGGAUGAACCAAUAUGGGAUUAGCUAGUAGGUGGGGUAAAGGCUCACCUAGGACACGAUCUGUAGCUGGUCUGAGAGGAUGACCAGCCACACUGGGAUUGAGACACGGCCCAGACUCCUAAGGUAGUCAGCAGUGGGGAAUAUUGCACAAUGGGAGCAAGCCUGAUGCAGCCAUGCCGCGGGUAUGAAGAAGGCCUUAGGGUUGUAAAGUACUUUCAGCUGGGAGGCGUUACCCGCAGAAGAAUCACCGGCUAACUCCGUGCCAGCAGCCGCGGUAAUAC
rnacentral:rRNA from 1 species